AUUGACUUUGUCGGGUUCGCCGUCACAAUACGCUUCUUCACGUGAAUUUACGCUUCCACUUUGAAUUUAAAACGUAUACGCGAGGUGGUACUAGUAAAAUUUGGUACGUCGCACGCUGGGCUCGCUCGCGCUAUUGAUCCUUUUAUUACGGGCCUUCUCUUACAUUGAUCCUUUUAUUAUGGGCCUUCUCUUAUGGGCCGUCUAGUAUUGAAAAGAAAAACUCCUGAAAGCGCACGCACACGCGGACAUCUCCUUCUUCUUCCUCUCAACACGCACGAACUCCUCCUGACGAGCGUUGGCUGCCGCCGAUCUGGACUCUCCAGCUCCCGUGCUCCCCUCCCCCCAUCUCGCACUGCUAAGGAAGGGCAUGGCCCUGCGAGCGGCCGCGGGAGGGCUCGCGUCUGCUGCCACGGCCACCUCCCAAUGUCCGAGUUGCUGCUCCCGUGUCGUGAUUGGAGACCGUGUCCUUCUCCAACUGCAAUCAAUGGAUUUCCCUACCCGGAUUUGAGUCGCCUGGUAUAAGAAGGAAGGGUCCUCGGCCGGAAUCUCCAUCAGGUUGCGUCCUUGGACCAGAAGCUCCAUCAAAUCCCAUCGAAUUUGCAUUUUUUUCAAAACAUCCAAUGUCGCCGCCGAGUUCGCUGGAGGAAGAAACGCCGAGUUCGCUAGAGGAAGAAACGCCGAGUUCGCCGGAGGAACAAGAACGUCCGUCCAACCGUCCAAUGUCGCUGGCGGCGGCUACACCAGAGGUAUAUAUCCCCUUGAUAUUCAUUGGAUGUAAUUCCCUGUUUUAGAUGUUGUUUCUGUCCCCUGCCUCUGACUACGCAACAAGGGAUGGAACCUGAGGCACAGCCGCUACGGUGCUGAGAAGGAGGCGGCUGUGGCACCCGACAAAUGCUGGACUCAGCUUUGAUGCUCACUUAGGGCGGCCACACACAUGACUCUGCCCAAGAUUCAACUGCAGUUGGCUCGGAUAAAAAGGAUUGCAACAUUGGCAGUACUGUUGAUAGGAUGGUUAGUUUUGGAAGGGGAAUAGUAGUAUGAGCAGAGAUUGAAAACAAGGCUCCAGUGAAAACACUCUUGCUCAACCAAUUUAAGCUCAGCGUCAGCUGUUGAUUAAACAUUGGAUAUACUCCCCCAAAUGACAUCGUUGCACUACACUGGACUUGACGACGAGGGGAUCCGGCUAGUUGUCUGAUGGCACUUCCACAUGUAUAAGCUUUGAGCUUAGGUUGUAUUUCUGAGGGGAGCAUACUUAUUACUACCUUAAUUGGGUUUGACUUUUGGCUACUGUAUUGCUGUCACAACUUACCAGCGAAAUAGAAAGAGAGUCAUGUCUGAUAAGGAUAUGUACCGAGUAAUGAGUAUGUACAGAAGUGCUGGUUCUUGGUUCUUACAUGGAGGUGAGUAACCAUGAGGUGAGCAAUUAUGGGCUGCAAACGUUGCUGCUGCCCAUCACCUGGUCCAAUUCAAGCACAACCAGUAGGCUGCCUUGAAUAAAGGAGUUCUCAAAGAUGAUGUCUUUUAGCACGACCAUUUUUAUUGAUUUAGUUUCUGUACAAUUUUGGAGCAUCCAAACUUGGAAAGUUUCAUCCUUCAAGUUAAAUUAGGACAAUCCAUUCAUUAAUUUCAGCAAAAAAUAUUGGCACUGUUCUUCCCAUUUUUAUUCACAUUCGUAGAAAUAUAGGUUUAAUGAUGGCUCUGCAAUUUUCCUAUUAGUAUGCAUGAAUUUUCUUUUUGAUUGCUCACCCUGGUACUUUUUGUAGUAAGAUCAUAAAUGACAAUUAUAACGGUGGCGAUUUUUACCAUCAAUUCCUUAUUUUUCACUUCUCUCACACUCAUGAUAGGUUGAUAUAUAUUUCCAGUUAUCUUUACAUCUUCAGUAUGUCGAUGUAGCUCCAAUCCCAUGAUACAAUCCAUUUUCUGCAGCCCAUCUUAUGUACGCAGAUGGGGCGAUACAUUCAUGAGCUUGCCACUAUGCUUAACUAGCUUGUUCAACUUCUCUUGUGAGAUCAAAUUACUUUGAUGUGAAUUUUCAUAGCUCUUUGUGCUCUUUCCUUCUUGCUGAACCAAUGUUUCCUCAUGAGGUGAACAAUGUUUCCUUGGGACACGGUGAAAAUUCUAGAGGACAUGACUGGUGUCCCUUCAAAUGCAUGUAGCUUCUAAUAUGUAUUAUGUAACCUUACUGAUGGUAUUUAUAGCAGACCUAAAAUUUCAACAACUCUACCGUAAGUGCAUAGGUGGGUGUGUUUAUGGAUGUGACCAUUUAGCAACUGAAAUGUUGCUGCUAAUAGGUUGUUGUGAUUUUUUUACAGUUGUUAAUGCAUUUAACUUUUUUCGUUGUUGUGCAUUUAAUUUUGGUGGUAAAGAUUUUGUGAUCCAGCCCCAUGAUGUCUUGAGAAGGAUCUGCCAUCGUGCUCUUCUCAGUUGCUGACGAGACCUUCUGAUGCAUGCGGUCACCUUUGUUCCCGGUAUUAUAGUCAUGAAGAAGCUUUCGUUCACAUUUUAAUUUGCCUAACCAGCCCUAGAAGCAUCCAAUCUCGCCUCUGACGCAUUGCCGGAACACCUUCCGCCGUCCGUACGUGCUCCACACUUCGCCAGAACUUCUUCUGCAGGUUUUCCAUUUGAGGCAUGUACUAAAGCUAACCUUGCAAGAGGCAUGCAAUAUAAGCAUGAUUUUCAAUAGAUUAUCUUCUGUUCUGUUGUGCUAGGCUAUGCGAUGAAGCUGAUAUAAUUGCUAGAAAUCAGAAGACGAACAAUGGAAUAGUUAGUGACCAGUGAACCUUGAGCCCAUGGAAUAGCCCUUUAUCACAAAUAGCAGAACUCUAUUCUGUCUAGAUCUUUUGGUUGUCCAUCGGAUCGGGCCUGUGCAUUGCACAAUAGCAUGCAAGGCAGUUGGGAAUCAAGUGCAUCAUCACGGUGACACAACUGAUCUACAACAAGAGAACCCAUCCACAGUAAAAGAAAAUACAUAGUAUCCAAUCCAUCACAUCCUAAUUAAACCCCAAACAGAUGUUCUUGCCUUGAUCAAGCGUGUAAGCUACAUUAUUUUUUUCUUCUGAUAAGGCACUUCAUAUAUGUCAUAGUAUCGGUAGUAUGGUUCACACACUGGUGUACGAAAGAUGGAAACAACACUAUCAAACUUAACCAAAGGAAUAAAGGGCAUACUACAGUGUGAUGUGGUGUCGUAGGACGCAGGCUGGACAUUUUGCUAAUGCCAUGCAUCAAUGAGAAACUUGCACGCGCACCCCUCGCCUUCCUUUGUUCUAGGCCUCCCCGUCUUGCCUCACUCCUAUCUGGCGGUCAUUGAUUUCGACGGGGAAUAUGCAAGGAGGCUGGGGAAUAGCUGCUAGUACGGGUUGUGGGCAUGCUCGGACCAGGAGGAGACAUAAGUUGUUGCGGCUGCCAUGUGCAAUGGAGGCUGGAUACGAUGGUCAGCGGGAUGGGAUGCAGCGGCUCGCAGGGGUAGCGCCUUCGGCGGCAGGCGCUGGGGAAAUGAAUUCUACUUGUGUGCUGGAGUCAGUUGCAUGCUAACUGGACAAUGCGUUAGCUUGUUCUGUACUUACUCUGUAGCUACCAGUGAUCGAAGUUGGAAGCUCAAUGUAAGCUACACAGUUACCUUCUUUACUUGUGUUGGUUUUUCCAUGCGUGAUUCUUUGGGGCGUAGGAAUUUUACUAAAGCUAGCUUGAUUUCAACAAGAAUUUGAACAAUUCUCUGGUCUGGUCUAAAAGAUACAUAUUUGGGUAGAUAGGUUCAGUGAUUGAAAAUAUUGCAUGUUAUCAUUGGUGAAUAUAAGUUCAUGGAUAAAUAAAAGUGGAAGAUCAUGGGGAAAUUUGCUAUCAAUUUGUAAUUUGUUACUCUGAUGUAUUCUAUUGUCGACAAAAUUAUAUAGUCAAACGAGGCAUGUAGCACAUGUAUUCAGUCUAGAAUGAUCUUUUGGUGAGGAUAAUCAUGAAUUCUCUUGGGUUCUGUCCUGAUAUUUGGCAGUUGUACAAUAUCGUAUCCAUUAUUUGUUUGAAAUAUGAUAUCUCCAUUGUUACUGUAGAAUAUCAUGCGAUUAUUUAUUUGAAAUAUGACAACUUCAUUGUCACUAUAGAAUAUCAUGUCCAUUAUUUAUUUGAAAUAUGACAUCUCCAUUGUUACCACUGGAGCUGAAAAAUAUAUUUCACAACUACCUAAAUAAAUCUAUUUUGUCAUCUAUUACUGACUUUUUGACUCCCAGGUCCAAAGAAAUAAGUUCUACAAGUGCAACCUUAUGUUUGUAUCAGGUGUACUGCUCUAAAUUGCUUAAACGAUCAGGUGUCCUGCUAUAUGGACCUCCAGGCACUGGGAAGACAUUACUUGCGAAAGCAGUAGCAACUGAGUGCUCAUUAAACUUUCUUAGCAUAAAAGGUCCAGAACUGAUAAACAUGUAUGUUGGAGAGUCGGAGAGGAAUACCAGGGACAUCUUUGAUAAGGCUAGAUCAGCAUGCCCAUGAGUAAUUUUCUUCGAUGAGCUUGAUUCCCUUGCUCCUGCAUGAGGGUCCUCUGCAGAUUUUGGAGAUGUGAUGGAUAAAUGGUUCCUCAGGUAUAAUUAACAUCAUCAAUGAGGUGGUUACUGGUGUCUCAGUUUUCCCUCUUUUUUUACACACGCCUCUGUUUUCCCUCUUAUUUUCAGUGUUAAAUGUUAAGAGCAAGCUAAUUCAGUUUCCCUUUUUCUCUCAUUACUAGCACAAAUGCCCGAUGGAGAUGCAUAUGUUUGGCAUUCUAUCAUUAAACAUACACGUGCGCUGGCUUGCAGUACUACAUUUUGUGAUUGUGUAGUAUCCACACCACUACUAAUGCUUAAGUUUGUUGCCUUGCCGUGUAAUUGUGUCAUAUGCACACCAAUACUAAUGCUCUAUGCUCUCGCCUGAGAGCACGUGCUGUGCUUUGUAUCAUCUAAAAAAGAUGUAAACUUUGUAGUAGAAACAGACUUUAGCACUGUGAUCCAGUAUGUAUUGAGUAGUGGAUUAAUGUAUGUAUUUGGUGUGCUUGCAACUGCUUAUUUAUUGCUUGCACCAGAAAUACCAAUAAGUUACUAUUGAAAAUACAAAUAUACUAUCAGGAAAAUGUAAAAA